CAGGAAUAUGGACUCUAAGGACCCUCUUCUUCUGGCUGCUGGGCUUUUUGGCAGCCUCUCUCUUCUUCUUAGUGUCCAUGACUGUGCUUCCCAUACUUUGAAGUCAAUACCCCAAAAGAGAAUCUUAUAAAGUUCCAGGGUCCUCUUCCACCAUCAGUGGUGCCAGUUGGGGCAGGGGCUGCUCCCCCAGGUGACAGUCACACAGCACAGCAGAGAGGUCCUGUGCUCUGGCUGAAGGCAGCAAACAUGUUGCAGGUUCACACCUCCCAGAGAAUUAAAGAACCCUGUCCCAGCUGGCCCCAGCCCCUCUCUCUCUCUCUCUGUGUGUGUGUGAGGAAUAGAAGCUGGGCUGGGGAUCAGCUCCAGAUAAUCAGCUCAGGACUGUCACUUGCAGAGUGGACACAACAGGAGCACAAUGUAGCAAUCCUUCCUCUCUGUGUGAGGGGUGGUGCCACAGAUUCCCCUUCAUGUGAACAACCAAAACAGGCAGAGACUGAGUCAGGAGCCAGCCUCAAACAGGAAGUCAAUACCUCCCUGCAAAGCAUGCAUCCAGCUGCAAACUCAGAGCCAGGGAUCCAGGGGUUAAUCAGGUGGGCAGGCAGCUCAGAGAAUGGGGGAAUCCUGCACCCCCUACACCAGGCAUGAUUCAGCACUGUGUGAGCCAGGAUCCCCAGCCUGACUUGUGCACCGCCACUGCAUGUGUUGGUGCUGCACGGCAGGGCUGCUAAUCGGGAUCGUCCUGCUUGAAGUAUACAUUGUAACACUGUAAAGGAUCAAUAGAACGUCCAGUAUCUAUUUACAGCUUAAUAGCCCGGGUUUAUUACAUACUGAUACGUGUAUCAAUCUACAUAACAAGAGAUCUAGCUCGCUGAUGGAUUCAUCUAUAAAUCUAGAUACAUGUAUCUGUCUCCAGAAAUCAGACAGCUCUGUGUUUAUCUAUAGAACUCGCUGGGUAUGUCUACAGAGCUAUGUGUGUGUAUAUAAUGUAUUGUUUAUUUAACUGGAGGUAAUGCAUGUGUAAAUCAGAAUUAGCAUAAUGUUAUAUUAAUCCGUCACUCUAUUAAUAUAGAUUAAAUGAACCUAUUAAUAUAUACAGUGUGACCCUAUUAAUAUAUAGAGUGUGACCCUAUUAAUAUAUACUAUGUGACCCUAUUAAUAUAUAUAGUGUGACCCUAUUAAUAUAUACAGUGUGACCCUAUUAAUAUAUACCAUUUGACCCUAUUAAUAUAUAUAGUGAGACCCUAUUAAUAUAUAUAGUGUGACCCUAUUAAUAUAUACAGUGGGACCCUAUUAAUAUAUAUAGUGAGACCCUAUUAAUAUAUAUAGUGUAACCCUAUUAAUAUAUAUAGUGUGACCCUAUUAAUAUAUAUAGUGUAACCCUAUUAAUAUAUAUAGUGUGACCCUAUUAAUAUAUACAGUGUGACCCUAUUUAUAUAUAUAGUGUGACCCUAUUAAUAUAUACAGUGUGACCCUAUUUAUAUAUAGUGUGACCCUAUUAAUAUAUACAGUGUGACCCUAUUAAUAUAUAUAGUAAUAAUCUAUUAAUAUAUACAGUGUGACCCUAUUAAUAUAUACCAUGUGACCCUAUUAAUAUAUACAGUGUGACCCUAUUAAUAUAUACCAUGUGACCCUAUUAAUAUAUAUAGUGAGACCCUAUUAAUAUAUAUAGUGUAACCCUAUUAAUAUAUAUAGUGUGACCCUAUUAAUAUAUACAGUGUGACCCUAUUUAUAUAUAGUGUGACCCUAUUAAUAUAUACAGUGUGACCCUAUUAAUAUAUAUAGUAAUAAUCUAUUAAUAUAUACAGUGUGACCCUAUUAAUAUAUACCAUGUGACCCUAUUAAUAUAUACAGUGUGACCCUAUUAAUAUAUACCGUGUGACCCUAUUAAUAUAUACAGUGUGACCCUAUUAAUAUAUAGUGUAAUCCUAUUAAUAUAUACAGUGUGACCCUAUUAAUAUAUAUAGUGUGACCCUAUUAAUAUAUACAGUGUGACCCUAUUAAUAUAUAUAGUGUGACCCUAUUAAUAUAUACAGUGUGGCCCUAUUAAUAUAUAGAGUGUGACCCUAUUAAUAUAUAUAGUGUGACUCUAAUAAUAUAUACAGUGUGACCCUAUUAAUAUAUAUAGUGUGACCCUAUUAAUAUAUACAGUGGGACCCUAUUAAUAUAUACAGUAUGACCCUAUUAAUAUAUACAGUGUGACCCUAUUAAUAUAUAUAGUGAGACCCUAUUAAUAUAUAUAGUUUGACCCUAUUAAUAUAUACAGUGUGACCCUAUUAAUAUAUAUAGUGUGACCCUAUUAAUAUAUAUAGUGAGACCCUAUUAAUAUAUACAGUGUGACCCUAUUAAUAUAUAUAGUGUGACCCUAUUAAUAUAUACAGUGUGACCCUAUUAAUAUAUACAGUGUGACCCUAUUAAUAUAUACCAUUUGACCCUAUUAAUAUAUAUAGUGAGACCCUAUUAAUAUAUAUAGUGUGACCCUAUUAAUAUAUACAGUGGGACCCUAUUAAUAUAUAUAGUGAGACCCUAUUAAUAUAUAUAGUGUAACCCUAUUAAUAUAUAGUGUGACCUAUUAAUAUAUAUAGUGUAACCCUAUUAAUAUAUAUAGUGUGACCCUAUUAAUAUAUACAGUGUGACCCCAUUUAUAGUAUAUAUAGUGUGACCCUAUUAAUAUAUACAGUGUGACCCUAUUUAUAUAUAUAGUGUGUGACCCUAUUAAUAUAUACAGUGUGACCCUAUUAAUAUAUAUAGUGUGACCCUAUUAAUAUAUACCAUGUGACCCUAUUAAUAUAUAUAGUAAUAAUCUAUUAAUAUAUAUAGUAAUAAUCUAUUAAUAUAUACAGUGUGACCCUAUUAAUAUAUACCAUGUGACCCUAUUAAUAUAUAUAGAGACCCUAUUAAUAUAUAUAGUGUGACCCUAUUAAUAUAUACAGUGUGACCCUAUUUAUAUAUAGUGUGACCCUAUUAAUAUAUACAGUGUGACCCUAUUAAUAUAUAUAGUAAUAAUCUAUUAAUAUAUACAGUGUGACCCUAUUAAUAUAUACCAUGUGACCCUAUUAAUAUAUAUAUAGUGAGACCCUAUUAAUAUAUAUAGUGUAACCCUAUUAAUAUAUACAGUGUGACCCUAUUAAUAUAUAGAGUGUGACCCUAUUAAUAUAUACAGUGUGACCCUAUUAAUAUAUAUAGUGUGACCCUAUUAAUAUAUACAGUGUGACCCUAUUUAUAUAUAGUGUGACCCUAUUAAUAUAUACAGUGUGACCCUAUUAAUAUAUAUAGUAAUAAUCUAUUAAUAUAUACAGUGUGACCCUAUUAAUAUACACCAUGUGACCCUAUUAAUAUAUACAGUGUGACCCUAUUAAUAUAUACCGUGUGACCCUAUUAAUAUAUACAGUGUGACCCUAUUAAUAUAUAGUGUAAUCCUAUUAAUAUAUACAGUGUGACCCUAUUAAUAUAUAUAGUGUGACCCUAUUAAUAUAUACAGUGUGACCCUAUUAAUAUAUAUAGUGUGACCCUAUUAAUAUAUACAGUGUGACCCUAUUAAUAUAUAUAGUGAGACCCUAUUAAUAUAUAUAGUGUAACCCUAUUAAUAUAUAUAGUGUGACCCUAUUAAUAUAUAUAGUGUGACCCUAUUAAUAUAUACAGUGUGACCCUAUUUAUAUAUAUAGUGUGACCCUAUUAAUAUAUACAGUGUGACCCUAUUUAUAUAUAGUGUGACCCUAUUAAUAUAUAUAGUGUGACCCUAUUAAUAUAUAUAGUGUGACCCUAUUAAUAUAUACAGUGUGACCCUAUUAAUAUAUAUAGUGAGACCCUAUUAAUAUAUACAGUAGGACCCUAUUAAUAUGUACCGUGUGACCCUAUUAAUAUAUACAGUGUGACCCUAUUAAUAUAUAUAGUAAUAAUCUUUUAAUAUAUAUUAUAUAGCUCACCCAUAUAGAAUUAAAUCCAUUGGUGUAGCCUAUAAAUCUUACUAAGGGCUAUUAACUCACAGAGCCGCUCCUGAUUAGACAACAGAACAUAAUAAAUUUACUUAUAAUAAUCAUAUUGCGAUUUAUUUUUAAGCAAGAUUAUCACCAGUUGCGCAAUGAGUUUUGCAAAUCUUUUCUCCAUGCGCCUGCAGUGAGCACAUUCGAGCCAGCAGAUGGCGCCAGUGGAAAGUUCUGCAAAGCUGACACCUAACAGGAGCUUUUUUUAACCUCUCAAAUCCCAGCAUGUCACCUCUAUUUGUUACAAGUUACCUUUUUUUGAAGUGCCUGUGUUUUAUUAACCCAUUCAUUGCUGUUGCCAUGUGUAAGAAUGGUGUCUGUGAUUGCAGUAGCUGUACUCAUUGACUGAGAGUUUCCCAGUUUGGAAUGGGGCUGGUAUUAAGCAGCAGGUAACAACAGUCUCCCUAAGGCCCAGUGCUGAUUAAAUGUUUUAUUGCCAUUCUGCUUUGUGAUGUGUGACUAGUAAGCGUUGGUAGAAUCGCUGUCAGUUACCUUACGCUUGCAGUUCAGUGUUUUGCAAUGGAAUGGGGGAUUGAAGGUCAUUCUGGCCUGGACUCCUGUCUGUGUUCUCAAAGUCUGCACUAGAGCAUCUACUGCAUAAAUCACACAGUGUCAGAGUUAUUUACUAAAACAGGAAUUGUCAGAAAUUCAGGGUGACUUUCAAAUUGUACGUCACAAACUGGGAUGUUUUCUAAGUCAGCAAACUGUUCAGUUUAGUCUAUUUUACCUCUUGUUUUAAAAGCAUUAUUCGGAUAGUUUGUUACAAAUGCAAAACAAGAAAGAUAGUGUCAUACACGCUCCCUCUUAUCCUGCCCUUCUCCUUCCACACCAUUCGUUCCCUCUUCUUUCUUGUCUUCUGUCCUAUGGGCAAAUCUUUCCUUUGUGCUUUGAGGCAGAGCUGUAUUACGAUCCCAUUGGACCUGGUGCUGACAAUUAUGAUGGGCCUAACUACAGAAUCUUAAGGACAAAAAACACUAAAACAGUUAUACCUCCUUAAGCUUCAUGUAUUUGGCGGAGGUGGUGCUGGUGGGAAACUCACAGGAAGCAGCUAUAAGAAAACACAAACCCUAUGCUAAUCUCUCGCUUUUCUCUCUCAGGCAAAACCAUACCCCUAACAGCAGGAUAAAAAAGGUGCACCACUGACGCGAAUCACGUAACCGGCACAGCUCAAAGGAUGGACACACCCAGAAGAGGAGCGAGUCUGCCCGAAGAAUUGGAAGGUCUACCUGGUGUGAAUGCAUGUCAGGCUGCCCCCGAAUCAUGCAGACUCGCCAACUAAGGGCAGACUAUGCAGACAAAGCUUGGUGCAAAUGCAUCUAAUAAUGCACUCGCUCUACACUUUCUGGGACUGUCCCCUAGCACUCGCUUGUUCACUCCUCUCCUUGCCUUCACGCCAGCAGGCAGAAGCUCCUGGUAUUCCAUCUAGGACAAAGAAAAGGUGGAUGUAGUGAGUGUAGAAGAAAGGGAACAUGCCUCUUUUACAACAGGAUUGCUUCAGAAAUGCUUCAGCAAGUUCUUAGCUAAAGAAUGCAUCAAUGUACUUGAUUUGUGCAAUCCCUUUCCAGUAGUUUGUGGUGCAUAGCUCUGUUUGCAACCCAGCAGUACAAUGAAUACAGUUGUGUGUUAUUAUUCAGCAGUGAUGUCCAACAUAACAUCAGAUCCAUUAACAAGGCCAAAGCGCAGAAUAACAUAUGUUAAGAUCAGCGCUCUCCAAAAAGUUGGCGAUCACGUAGAAUGUCAUGUAAGAAUAAAAG
rnacentral:lncRNA from 1 species